CUCGCCAUUGUACCUGUCUUGUAACACAGUGACUAGUACGGUCCGGAGGUGAGCUGACAGAAAAUGCCAACUUAGGAAAAAGAGUUAUUCUUCUCGUGGGUAACUUUGUGCCGAAGUCUGGGAACAGGG
rnacentral:snoRNA from 1 species